rnacentral:rRNA from 1 species
GCACCCUACGGGGCGCAGCAGUAGGGAAUUUUCGUCAAUGGGCGCAAGCCUGAACGAGCAAUGCCGCGUGAACGAGGAAGGUCUUCGGAUCGUAAAGUUCUGUUGAAGGGGAAAAAGAGCGGAGAGAGGAAAUGGUCUCCGACUGAUAUUACCCUUCGAGGAAGUCACGGCUAACUACGUGCCAGCAGCCGCGGUAAUACGGAGGAUGCGAGCGUUAUCCGGAUUUAUUGGGUUUAAAGGGUGCGUAGGCGGGACGGUAAGUCAGCGGUAAAAAUGCGGAGCUCAACUCCGUCGAGCCGUUGAAA